rnacentral:rRNA from 1 species
UUAAGCGACUAAGCGUACACGGUGGAUGCCCUGGCAGUCAGAGGCGAUGAAGGACGUGCUAAUCUGCGAUAAGCGUCGGUAAGGUGAUAUGAACCGUUAUAACCGGCGAUUUCCGAAUGGGGAAACCCAGUGUGUUUCGACACACUAUCAUUAACUGAAUCCAUAGGUUAAUGAGGCGAACCGGGGGAACUGAAACAUCUAAGUACCCCGAGGAAAAGAAAUCAACCGAGAUUCCCCCAGUAGCGGCGAGCGAACGGGGAGGAGCCCAGAGCCUGAAUCAGUGUGUGUGUUAGUGGAAGCGUCUGGAAAGGCGCGCGAUACAGGGUGACAGCCCCGUACACAAAAAUGCACAUGCUGUGAGCUCGAUGAGUAGGGCGGGACACGUGGUAUCCUGUCUGAAUAUGGGGGGACCAUCCUCCAAGGCUAAAUACUCCUGACUGACCGAUAGUGAACCAGUACCGUGAGGGAAAGGCGAAAAGAACCCCGGCGAGGGGAGUGAAAAAGAACCUGAAACCGUGUACGUACAAGCAGUGGGAGCACGCUUAGGCGUGUGACUGCGUACCUUUUGUAUAAUGGGUCAGCGACUUAUAUUCUGUAGCAAGGUUAACCGAAUAGGGGAGCCGAAGGGAAACCGAGUCUUAACUGGGCGUUAAGUUGCAGGGUAUAGACCCGAAACCCGGUGAUCUAGCCAUGGGCAGGUUGAAGGUUGGGUAACACUAACUGGAGGACCGAACCGACUAAUGUUGAAAAAUUAGCGGAUGACUUGUGGCUGGGGGUGAAAGGCCAAUCAAACCGGGAGAUAGCUGGUUCUCCCCGAAAGCUAUUUAGGUAGCGCCUCGUGAAUUCAUCUCCGGGGGUAGAGCACUGUUUCGGCAAGGGGGUCAUCCCGACUUACCAACCCGAUGCAAACUGCGAAUACCGGAGAAUGUUAUCACGGGAGACACACGGCGGGUGCUAACGUCCGUCGUGAAGAGGGAAACAACCCAGACCGCCAGCUAAGGUCCCAAAGUCAUGGUUAAGUGGGAAACGAUGUGGGAAGGCCCAGACAGCCAGGAUGUUGGCUUAGAAGCAGCCAUCAUUUAAAGAAAGCGUAAUAGCUCACUGGUCGAGUCGGCCUGCGCGGAAGAUGUAACGGGGCUAAACCAUGCACCGAAGCUGCGGCAGCGACGCUUAUGCGUUGUUGGGUAGGGGAGCGUUCUGUAAGCCUGCGAAGGUGUGCUGUGAGGCAUGCUGGAGGUAUCAGAAGUGCGAAUGCUGACAUAAGUAACGAUAAAGCGGGUGAAAAGCCCGCUCGCCGGAAGACCAAGGGUUCCUGUCCAACGUUAAUCGGGGCAGGGUGAGUCGACCCCUAAGGCGAGGCCGAAAGGCGUAGUCGAUGGGAAACAGGUUAAUAUUCCUGUACUUGGUGUUACUGCGAAGGGGGGACGGAGAAGGCUAUGUUGGCCGGGCGACGGUUGUCCCGGUUUAAGCGUGUAGGCUGGUUUUCCAGGCAAAUCCGGAAAAUCAAGGCUGAGGCGUGAUGACGAGGCACUACGGUGCUGAAGCAACAAAUGCCCUGCUUCCAGGAAAAGCCUCUAAGCAUCAGGUAACAUCAAAUCGUACCCCAAACCGACACAGGUGGUCAGGUAGAGAAUACCAAGGCGCUUGAGAGAACUCGGGUGAAGGAACUAGGCAAAAUGGUGCCGUAACUUCGGGAGAAGGCACGCUGAUAUGUAGGUGAAGUCCCUCGCGGAUGGAGCUGAAAUCAGUCGAAGAUACCAGCUGGCUGCAACUGUUUAUUAAAAACACAGCACUGUGCAAACACGAAAGUGGACGUAUACGGUGUGACGCCUGCCCGGUGCCGGAAGGUUAAUUGAUGGGGUCAGCGCAAGCGAAGCUCUUGAUCGAAGCCCCGGUAAACGGCGGCCGUAACUAUAACGGUCCUAAGGUAGCGAAAUUCCUUGUCGGGUAAGUUCCGACCUGCACGAAUGGCGUAAUGAUGGCCAGGCUGUCUCCACCCGAGACUCAGUGAAAUUGAACUCGCUGUGAAGAUGCAGUGUACCCGCGGCAAGACGGAAAGACCCCGUGAACCUUUACUAUAGCUUGACACUGAACAUUGAGCCUUGAUGUGUAGGAUAGGUGGGAGGCUUUGAAGUGUGGACGCCAGUCUGCAUGGAGCCGACCUUGAAAUACCACCCUUUAAUGUUUGAUGUUCUAACGUUGACCCGUGAUCCGGGUUGCGGACAGUGUCUGGUGGGUAGUUUGACUGGGGCGGUCUCCUCCUAAAGAGUAACGGAGGAGCACGAAGGUUGGCUAAUCCUGGUCGGACAUCAGGAGGUUAGUGCAAUGGCAUAAGCCAGCUUGACUGCGAGCGUGACGGCGCGAGCAGGUGCGAAAGCAGGUCAUAGUGAUCCGGUGGUUCUGAAUGGAAGGGCCAUCGCUCAACGGAUAAAAGGUACUCCGGGGAUAACAGGCUGAUACCGCCCAAGAGUUCAUAUCGACGGCGGUGUUUGGCACCUCGAUGUCGGCUCAUCACAUCCUGGGGCUGAAGUAGGUCCCAAGGGUAUGGCUGUUCGCCAUUUAAAGUGGUACGCGAGCUGGGUUUAGAACGUCGUGAGACAGUUCGGUCCCUAUCUGUCGUGGGCGCUGGAGAACUGAGGGGGGCUGCUCCUAGUACGAGAGGACCGGAGUGGACGCAUCACUGGUGUUCGGGUUGUCAUGCCAAUGGCACUGCCCGGUAGCUAAAUGCGGAAGAGAUAAGUGCUGAAAGCAUCUAAGCACGAAACUUGCCCCGAGAUGAGUUCUCCCUGACUCCUUGAGAGUCCUGAAGGAACGUUGAAGACGACGACGUUGAUAGGCCGGGUGUGUAAGCGCAGCGAUGCGUUGAGCUAACCGGUACUAAUGAACCGUGAGGCUUAACCU